GACGAACGCUGGCGGCGUGCUUAACACAUGCGAGUCGAACGGAAAGGCCCUGCUUUUGUGGGGUGCUCGAGUGGCGAACGGGUGAGUAACACGUGAGUAACCUGCCCUUGACUUUGGGAUAACUUCAGGAAACUGGGGCUAAUACCGGAUAGGAGCUCCUGCUGCAUGGUGGGGGUUGGAAAGUUUCGGCGGUUGGGGAUGGACUCGCGGCUUAUCAGCUUGUUGGUGGGGUAGUGGCUUACCAAGGCUUUGACGGGUAGCCGGCCUGAGAGGGUGACCGGCCACAUUGGGACUGAGAUACGGCCCAGACUCCUACGGGAGGCAGCAGGUGGGAAUAUUGCACAAUGGGCGGAAGCCUGAUGCAGCAACGCCGCGUGCGGGAUGACGGCCUUCGGGUUGUAAACCGCUUUCGCCUGUGACGAAGCGUGAGUGACGGUAAUGGGUAAAGAAGCACCGGCUAACUACGUG
rnacentral:rRNA from 1 species